rnacentral:rRNA from 1 species
GUGCUGAAGCAACAAAUGCCCUGCUUCCAGGAAAAGCCUCUAAGCAUCAGGUAACACGAAAUCGUACCCCAAACCGACACAGGUGGUCAGGUAGAGAAUACCAAGGCGCUUGAGAGAACUCGGGUGAAGGAACUAGGCAAAAUGGUGCCGUAACUUCGGGAGAAGGCACGCUGACACGUAGGUGAAGUGAUUUACUCAUGGAGCUGAAGUCAGUCGAAGAUACCAGCUGGCUGCAACUGUUUAUUAAAAACACAGCACUGUGCAAACACGAAAGUGGACGUAUACGGUGUGACGCCUGCCCGGUGCCGGAAGGUUAAUUGAUGGGGUCAGCGCAAGCGAAGCUCCUGAUCGAAGCCCCGGUAAACGGCGGCCGUAACUAUAACGGUCCUAAGGUAGCGAAAUUCCUUGUCGGGUAAGUUCCGACCUGCACGAAUGGCGUAAUGAUGGCCAGGCUGUCUCCACCCGAGACUCAGUGAAAUUGAACUCGCUGUGAAGAUGCAGUGUACCCGCGGCAAGACGGAAAGACCCCGUGAACCUUUACUAUAGCUUGACACUGAACAUUGAGCCUUGAUGUGUAGGAUAGGUGGGAGGCUUUGAAGUGUGGACGCCAGUCUGCAUGGAGCCGACCUUGAAAUACCACCCUUUAAUGUUUGAUGUUCUAACGUGGACCCGUAAUCCGGGUUGCGGACAGUGUCUGGUGGGUAGUUUGACUGGGGCGGUCUCCUCCUAAAGAGUAACGGAGGAGCACGAAGGUUGGCUAAUCCUGGUCGGACAUCAGGAGGUUAGUGCAAUGGCAUAAGCCAGCUUGACUGCGAGCGUGACGGCGCGAGCAGGUGCGAAAGCAGGUCAUAGUGAUCCGGUGGUUCUGAAUGGAAGGGCCAUCGCUCAACGGAUAAAAGGUACUCCGGGGAUAACAGGCUGAUACCGCCCAAGAGUUCAUAUCGACGGCGGUGUUUGGCACCUCGAUGUCGGCUCAUCACAUCCUGGGGCUGAAGUAGGUCCCAAGGGUAUGGCUGUUCGCCAUUUAAAGUGGUACGCGAGCUGGGUUUAGAACGUCGUGAGACAGUUCGGUCCCUAUCUGCCGUGGGCGCUGGAGAACUGAGGGGGGCUGCUCCUAGUACGAGAGGACCGGAGUGGACGCAUCACUGGUGUUCGGGUUGUCAUGCCAAUGGCACUGCCCGGUAGCUAAAUGCGGAAGAGAUAAGUGCUGAAAGCAUCUAAGCACGAAACUUGCCCCGA